GGGGGGGGGGGGGGGGGGGCGGGGGGCGGGCAGGGCGAAGGGAGGGGCCCUGCUUUUGUGGGGUGCUGGAGUGGCGGACGGGUGUGUGACGCGUGGGUAACCUGCCCUUGACUUUGGGAUAACUUCAGGAAACUGGGGCUAAUACCGGAUAGUAGCUCCUGCUGCAUGGUGGGGGUUGGAAAGUUUCGGCGGUUGGGGAUGGACUCGCGGCUUAUCAGCUUGUUGGUGGGGUAGUGGCUUACCAAGGCUUUGACGGGUAGCCGGCCUGAGAGGGUGACCGGCCACAUUGGGACUGAGAUACGGCCCAGACUCCUACGGGAGGCAGCAGUGGGGAAUAUUGCACAAUGGGCGGAAGCCUGAUGCAGCAACGCCGCGUGCGGGAUGACGGCCUUCGGGUUGGAAACCGCUUUCGCCUGUGACGAAGCGUGAGUGACGGUAAUGGGUAAAGAAGCACCGGCUAACUACGUG
rnacentral:rRNA from 1 species